CUCGCUCUGCAGCUCCUUCACAAGCUCCUGGAAAUGGGAAAGCGCCCCGGGGCUGAAUGAAGCUCUUUGACGUCACGAGUGCCCAUUAAGGGUUUAUGGGCCGAGAAGCGGAGCAAAGGGUGCCUCGAGGAGGGCUGGCAGCAGCCCCGUGUUCCGGUGUCUCCUCCUGUCCCGCUGCUGCGGGUGUCCCACGGUGCACGCAGGACGUGGGAGGUGCCCGGGGCCGCCUCUCUGCAGAACCUUAAAGCCCGGCGCGGCGCCGGGCGGGCAGGGUGCUGGCAGCAUGCAGGCGGGUGGUUGGCUCCUGCUGGGGCUGCUGGCCCUCGGUGCACCGCUGCACGCAGCGCCCGCUGCAGGACGGUGUAGCCCAGGGCUGCACGGAGCAGCAACCAUCCUCCCUGUGACCCAACCGCAGGCGGUGGUGCCAGCAGAUGCCCGGUGCCGGCAGCGGAACGGCACCCAGAGCCCAUCUGUGCAGCAGCAGCUGGGGGCAGAGCGGGGCGGUGCGGAGCAGCACCUGCAUGGGGAGCGGCCGGCGGUGAGACCUGUGCCUGAGAAUGGAGCGGGGAGCAGGGAGAAGCCUCCAGCGGGCAGCACGCCUGCACUGAGGGAAAAGCAGGAGAUCGCAAAGAAACCCAGCGUGGGGAAGAAGCCAGAGUGUGAGGGGAAGGAUGGGAAUGGGGAAAAGCCUAAGAUAACGCCAGGAGCAAUGGCAAAACCAGAGGGUGGGGGGAAAGUGGAGAGUGGAGGGAAAACUGAGAGUGGGAAAAAGCCAGGGACUGGGGGGAAGCCAACGGGUGGAGAGAAACCCGUGCUGGGGAAAAAGCCAGAGGCGGGGGGAAAGCCGGAGGCUGGGGGGAAACAGGAGAGUGGGGAGAAGCUCAAGUUGGGAGAGAAACAGCCCGAGCAUGGAGAUGGUGAGGUGGGUGAUGACAUUGAUGACGAUGAUGACGAUGACAGUGAUGACGAUGGUGAUGAGAAAAAAGGGUAUGAGGAUGAUAUGGCUGAUGACCAUGAUUAUUACUAUGGCUACAAUGACGACGAGGGCUAUGAUGAUGACGAUAAUGGUGACGGUAACAAUGGCAGUGAUGACGACGGUGGAAAUGGGAAUGACUAUGGAGAUGCCGAUGGAUACGGUGACGGUGAUGACUGAAGAUUACAGUGGUGGAGAUGGCAGCGAUGCUGGCGCGAUGAUGCUUGGUGACCAGCACUGUGGGGCGUGUGCAGGGCACAAGGUGCAAUGACAGCCCAUGGCAGGUGGGCACACGGAGCUGCCCCCAGCCUCCCCUCGCCUCACUCUGCCAGGGCCAGUCCUGGACACCAGCGCUGUUUUGGGCAGGACCUUCUAUUUCCUAAUAAAUCCCACAGUGGGCCACUUGCUCAACACAACAAGCUGUCCCUUGUCACAGUGCCUGGCAUCUCCAAGCCAUCUGGGAGCUUGCAUGGAUGUACCAUUCCCAGCUUCUUCCACAGACCCAGAGAUGCCCCUGACACGUCAUAGCCUGGAGGAGCAGCCUGGCGUGAGGCUGCAGGCAGGAUGUGUGUGCUGACCCCAGGACCAACUGUCUGCCAUGGCACUUCCCUCCCACGUGGAUUGGGGGUCCAACAAGGGUUCAGCAGGAGACUGACACCACGGGAACCAGCAGAGCUCAUUGCAGAUGGGAUUUAAUAGCAAGGAAGAAGCACAGAGACCCCCGUGCCCAGUUCUGAGCUGAGCGCUGAGGGGUGGAUUUGGGAUGGGGGAUGAUGGGUUCUCGCUCUGCAGUCGAUGGAUGAGUCCAUGUCCGGCUGCCC
ensembl:lncRNA